CUGCCCUCAAGCCCGGCUUGUGUGUUGGGCCGCGUCCCCCCGGGGACGGGCCCGAAAGGCAGCGGCGGCACCGUGUCCGGUCCUCGAGCGUAUGGGGCUUUGUCACCCGCUCUUGUAGGCCCGGCCGGCGCCCGCCGACCCCCAACCAUUUUUUCUCA
rnacentral:misc_RNA from 1 species